rnacentral:rRNA from 1 species
GUAGGUGGCAAGCGUUGUCCGGAAUUAUUGGGCGUAAAGCGCGCGCAGGCGGUCCUUUAAGUCUGAUGUGAAAGCCCACGGCUCAACCGUGGAGGGUCAUUGGAAACUGGGGGACUUGAGUACAGAAGAGGAAAGCGGAAUUCCAAGUGUAGCGGUGAAAUGCGUAGAGAUUUGGAGGAACACCAGUGGCGAAGGCGGCUUUCUGGUCUGUAACUGACGCUGAGGCGCGAAAGCGUGGGGAGCAAACAGGAUUAGAUACCCUGGUAGUCCACGCCGUAAACGAUGAGUGCUAAGUGUUAGGGGGUUUCCCGCCCCCCUUAGUGCUGCAGCUAACGCAUUAAGCACUCCGCCUGGGGAGUACGGCCGCAGGCUG